rnacentral:rRNA from 1 species
UACGUAGGGUCCAAGCGUUUAUCCGGAAUCACUGGGCGUAAAGCGUGCGUAGGUGGCGUGUUAAGUGUGAUGUUAAAUCGCGGGGCUCAACCCUGUCGGUGCAUCGCAUACUGGCAUGCUAGAGGAAAGCAGAGGCAAGUGGAAUUGGUAGUGUAGCAGUGAAAUGCGUAGAUAUUACCAGGAACACCAAUGGCGAAGGCAGCUUGCUGGGCUUUUUCUGACACUGAGGUACGAAAGCGUGGGGAGCGAACAGG